rnacentral:rRNA from 1 species
CUACGGGGGGCUGCAGUGAGGAAUAUUGCACAAUGGGGGGAACCCUGAUGCAGCAACGCCGCGUGGAGGAUGACGCAUUUCGGUGUGUAAACUCCUUUUAUAUGUCAAGAAGAUGACGGUAGCAUAUGAAUAAGCACCGGCUAACUCCGUGCCAGCAGCCGCGGUAAUACGGAGGGUGCAAGCGUUACUCGGAAUCACUGGGCGUAAAGGACGCGUAGGCGGGUUGGAAAGUCAGGUGUGAAAUCCUACAGCUUAACUGUAGAACUGAACUUGAAACUUCUAAUCUUGAGUAUGGGAGGGGGAGAUGGAAUUAGUGGUGUAGGGGUAAAAUCCGUAGAUAUCACUAGGAAUACCUAAAGCGAAGGCGAUCUCCUGGAACAUUACUGACGCUAAGGCGUGAAAGCGUGGGGAGCAAACAGGAUUAGAUACCCCCGUAGUC